rnacentral:rRNA from 1 species
GAUGAACGCUGGCGGCGUGCUUAACACAUGCAAGUCGAACGAGAAAUGUAGACGGAAACCUUCGGGCGGAAGCCUUCAUUUCGAGUGGCGGACGGGUGAGUAACGCGUGGGUAACCUGCCUCAUACAGGGGGAUAACAGUUGGAAACGACUGUUAAUACCGCAUAAGACCACAGCAUCGCAUGAUGCGGGGGUAGAAACUCCGGUGGUAUGAGAUGGACCCGCGUUCGAUUAGCCAGUUGGCGGGGUAACGGCCCACCAAAGCGACGAUCGAUAGCCGAUCUGAGAGGAUGACCGGCCACAUUGGGACUGAGACACGGCCCAAACUCCUACGGGAGGCAGCAGUGGGGAAUAUUGCACAAUGGGGGAAACCCUGAUGCAGCGACGCCGCGUGAGUGAAGAAGUACUUCGGUAUGUAAAGCUCUAUCAGCAGGGAAGAAAAUGACGGUACCUGAGUAAGAAGCCCCGGCUAACUACGUG